UGAGAACAAAAAUAACUUGAAUUUUUUUUUUUUUGCCUUCUAGAAUUGGAGUUAUAAUGAGUGAAACAAGAUAAUUCCUGAAGAAGCAUACUCGAAAAAAAGUCUAUAAAGAUAACGAGCAAAUCACUAGAAGUAAAUUUGAAGAGGAUUGGAUUUGGAGUCAGAAGACCUGCACUCCAGCUGAGCGCAGUGGCUCACGCCUGUAAUCCCUGCACUUUGGGAGGCCAAGGCAGGUGGAUCACUUGAGGUCAGGAGUUUGAGACCAGCCUGGCCAAUGUGGUGAAACCCUGUCUCUACUAAAAAGCAAACAUUAGCUGGAUGUGGUGGCAUGUGCCUGUAGUCCCAGCUACUCAGGAGGCUGAGGCAGGAGAAUUGCUUUGAACCUGGGAGGCAGAGGUUGCAGUGAGCUGAGAUCGCGCCACUGCACUCCAGCCUGGGCGACAGAGUGA
rnacentral:lncRNA from 1 species